CCUACGGGAGGCAGCAGUGAGGAAUAUUGGUCAAUGGGCUUACGCCUGAACCAGCCAAGUCGCGUGAGGGAAGACUGCCCUAUGGGUUGUAAACCUCUUUUGUCAGGGAGCAACGCCGGCUACGUGUAGCCGGACUGAGAGUACCUGAAGAAAAAGCAUCGGCUAACUCCGUACCAGCAGCCGCGGUAAUACGGAGGAUGCGAGCGUUAUCCGGAUUUAUUGGGUUUAAAGGGUGCGUAUGCGGGCUGUUAAGUCAGCGGUAAAAGCACGGGGUUCAACCCCGGCGAGCCGUUGAAACUGGCUGUCUUGAGAAGACGAGGGGAAGGCGGAAUGCGCAGUGUAGCGGUGAAAUGCUUAGAUAUUGCGAAGAACUCCGAUUGCGAAGGCAGCAAACCGGCGGCGAUCUGACGCUGAGGCACGAAAGCGUGGGUAUCGAACAGGAUUAGAUACCCCAGUAGUC
rnacentral:rRNA from 1 species